rnacentral:lncRNA from 1 species
ACAUACAAAUGAGAUGAAAACAGGACAGAUGAAAUUACGAAGAUACAGAUAAAAGAAAAAAGGAGGAGGAGGUACAAUUAAUAUCCAACUAAACUAAUUUAGCAAACCAACAAUUUUACGGCCGAAUCAGCUGCAUAAAAGUCUAGCAGUUUUGAAGAACAGAAAAGGUUUGCUACAUAUGCUAAUGAGUAAGCACCCACAGUGAUUUCAGACAAA